GUUGUUACUUGUUUCGCUUUCUAAAUUGUCUUUCUUUUCUUUAUUUAUUAAUUAUGGUGAUUAAACAAUUAAGUAAAUUAUCUUUGUACGUUUAACGAUCUAAUUAAAGGGGUUCACUUUUAAUACUAAACUAAUCAGUUUACUUUUUGAUUCUGUUCUUUUCACUGAGACAUGGGAUUUAAUUGUGUGGAACAAUUAACACUGGUUUAAUCUAUUUAUUGGUUACAAUAGAGGUCAACUCAAGGAGGAUUUACUUGUUAAUCACUAACCAGUUCUAAUUAUAUCAACUAUCUCUUUCUCUCUCUUGUUCAUAAUCAAGGAGAUAGAAAAACUCAGAGUUGGUUCAGUUUUAAGCUUUUUUUUCAUAUCAUUUUCUCUUGAUUAUAUCUCCUUGAUUAGUAUUUUGAAUUACAUUGAUGUUGAGAGUUGAUUAAAUCUUAAUGGUAUUUGGUAAGAUAAUUGAUUGUAAUCAAAUGUAUUGAUAAUUUACCUUGUCGAGGAUAAUCAGCUGCAAUCAUCUUUCCUUUUUCUUUGUUUAGUAUCAGAUUGACAACAAGAUUUUCGCGCUGGUGGUAAUAUUCCUGUAAGAUUUGGACAAUAACAACGUGUUACAAUUAAGUGAACCAAGUGAAUUAACAAAUUACAAAGACAAGGAAAAGAAAACAACAAAGAAAAAGUGAUCAACUUACCAAGUGGAUUCUUUAAAAUCAAUGGACAAUAUUAGAUUUGAAUCUAAUAAUAAGAUUUUAUGGUUGUUGUUGUUGUUAUGGAAAAUUUAACUUUCCUUAAAUUUGGUAAUAACAAUUAGUAUAAAUUAGAAUUGAUUAGUUUAUGAAAA